CACGUAGGGUGCGAGCGUUGUCCGGAAUUAUUGGGCGUAAAGAGCUCGUAGGCGGUGUGUCGCGUCGGCCGUGAAACCUGCAGCUUAACUGUGGCUUGCGGUCGAUACGGGCAUCACUGGAGUUCGGCAGGGGAGACUGGAAUUCCUGGUGUAGCGGUGAAAUGCGCAGAGUAUCAGGAGGGAACACCGGUGGGCCGAAGGCGGGUCUCUGGGCCGAAUACUGACGCUGGAGAAGCGAAAGCAUGGGGAGCGAACAGGAUUAG
rnacentral:rRNA from 1 species